CCUACGGGCGGCUGCAGUGGGGAAUAUUGGACAAUGGGGGCAACCCUGAUCCAGCCAUGCCGCGUGUGUGAAGAAGGCCCUCGGGUUGUAAAGCACUUUCAGUGAGGAAGAACGCCUGGUGGUUAAUACCCAUCAGGAAAGACAUCACUCACAGAAGAAGCACCGGCUAACUCCGUGCCAGCAGCCGCGGUAAUACGGAGGGUGCGAGCGUUAAUCGGAAUUACUGGGCGUAAAGCGCGCGUAGGUGGCUUGAUAAGCCGGUUGUGAAAGCCCCGGGCUCAACCUGGGAACGGCAUCCGGAACUGUCAAGCUAGAGUGCAGGAGAGGAAGGUAGAAUUCCCGGUGUAGCGGUGAAAUGCGUAGAGAUCGGGAGGAAUACCAGUGGCGAAGGCGGCCUUCUGGACUGACACUGACACUGAGGUGCGAAAGCGUGGGUAGCAAACAGGAUUAGAUAUCCUGGUAGUC
rnacentral:rRNA from 1 species